CGCCACUCAUAAAGGGUUAAAAAACUUUUAACACACACCUGAUUCCCUCGCCACUGGUUCAUUGCUCUGCCACCCCCAACGUCGUCCGACAGGAUGGGACUAAUGCGCAUGCUCAGCUCCUCAUAGAAUUGCUUCAAUGCUUUCAUAUGGGGAUUUUACUGAUGCUGGAUGUCCUCAAGGAUGUCCUUGUCCAGCAUCAGGUGGCCAAAAGUCAGUUAGCUAUCAGGAAGUGCCUCCAG